GGAUUUCGGGUAGCUUUACCAUGCAAGUCGUACGGCAGCGGGCGUAGCUUGAUACCUGCCGGCGAGUGGCGAACGGGUGAGUAAUACAUCGGAACGUGCCCUGUAGUGGGGGAUAACUAGUCGAAAGACUAGCUAAUACCGCAUACGACCUGAGGGUGAAAGUGGGGGACCGCAAGGCCUCAUGCUAUAGGAGCGGCCGAUGUCUGAUUAGCUAGUUGGUGGGGUAAAGGCCCACCAAGGCGACGAUCAGUAGCUGGUCUGAGAGGACGAUCAGCCACACUGGGACUGAGACACGGCCCAGACUCCUACGGGAGGCAGCAGUGGGGAAUUUUGGACAAUGGGGGCAACCCUGAUCCAGCAAUGCCGCGUGUGUGAAGAAGGCCUUCGGGUUGUAAAGCACUUUUGUCCGGAAAGAAAUCGCACUGGUUAAUACCUGGUGUGGAUGACGGUACCGGAAGAAUAAGGACCGGCUAACUACGUGCCAGCAGCCGCGGUAAUACGUAGGGUCCAAGCGUUAAUCGGAAUUACUGGGCGUAAAGCGUGCGCAGGCGGUUGUGCAAGACCGAUGUGAAAUCCCCGGGCUUAACCUGGGAAUUGCAUUGGUGACUGCACGGCUAGAGUGUGUCAGAGGGAGGUAGAAUUCCACGUGUAGCAGUGAAAUGCGUAGAGAUGUGGAGGAAUACCGAUGGCGAAGGCAGCCUCCUGGGAUAACACUGACGCUCAUGCACGAAAGCGUGGGGAGCAAACAGGAUUAGAUACCCUGGUAGUCCACGCCCUAAACGAUGUCAACUAGUGUUGGGGAUUCAUUUCCUUAGUAACGUAGCUAACGCGUGAAGUUGACCGCCUGGGGAGUACGGUCGCAAGAUUAAAACUCAAAGGAAUUGACGGGACCCGCACAAGCGGUGAUGAUUGUGAUUAAUUCGAUGCAACGCGAAAAACCUUACUUACCUUUGACUUGCCACUUAACGAAGCAAGAAAUGCAUUAGGUGCUCGAAAGAAAAGUGGACACAGUGCUGCAUGGCUGUUCGUCAGCUUGGUUCGUGAAUGUUAGUAAAGUCCGCAACGGCGCAACUUUGUCUUAGUGCUACGAAGGCACUCUAGAGACUCGCCGUUACAAACGAGAAGUGAUGACCGUUAAGGUCUCUUGGCCUUAGGUAGGCUCCAGGUAUAACAUGUUCUCACAGGGGUUGCCAAGCCGAGGUGCACGUAUUCGAAAGAUGUC
rnacentral:rRNA from 1 species